AACGAACGCUGGCGGCAUGCCUAACACAUGCAAGUCGAACGAGACCUUCGGGUCUAGUGGCGCACUGGUGCGUAACGCGUGGGAACCUGCCCUUAGGUUCGGAAUAACUCCCCGCAAGGGGUGCUAAUACCGGAUGAUGGCUUCGGACCAAAGAUUUAUCGCCUUUGGAUGGGCCCGCGUUGGAUUAGCUAGUUGGUAGGGUAAAAGCCUACCAAGGCGACGAUCCAUAGCUGGUCUGAGAGGAUGAUCAGCCACACUGGGACUGAGACACGGCCCAGACUCCUACGGGAGGCAGCAGUGGGGAAUAUUGGACAAUGGGCGAAAGCCUGAUCCAGCAAUGCCGCGUGAGUGAUGAAGGCCUUAGGGUUGUAAAGCUCUUUUACCCGGGAUGAUAAUGACAGUACCGGGAGAAUAAGCGCCGGCUAACUCCGUG
rnacentral:rRNA from 1 species